UCAUCUGAACUAUGGCCAUCGUUAUGGGUGCUAUACCCAGUGUGGACUGGAACUGUAUCUGUAAUACUGGAAACUAUUCCAAUUGGCACCCCUCUACAGCAACUCUUAGUCUUCUGGGCCAUUUUCAACUUGGUGACCUUUGUGGUAAUGGUGGUUCUCUGUGCUCCCAUCUUUGGCUAUGUUUGUCAGAGGACUAUGAGAAUGUCUCAGCAUAGUUCUGGACCCCAGUGGAAUCGGGAUAUCAUGAUGAGUCUUCUGAAGACCGUGGUCAUUGUGCUUGGGGCCUUUAUCAUCUGCUGGACUUCUGGAUUGGUUUUGUUAAUUCUAGAUGUGUGCUAUCCACAGUGCAGCGUGCUGCCCUAUGAGAAAUUCUUCCUUCUCCUUGUUGAAUUCAACUCUGCCAUGAACCCCAUCAUUUACUCCUACCACGACAAAGAAAUGAGCGCCACCUUUAGGCAGAUCCUCUGCUGCCAAUGCAGUGAGAACCCCAGCAGCCCCACAGAAGGCUCAGACCGCUCAGCUUCCUCCCUCAACCACACCAUCUUGGCUGGAGUUCACAGCAAUGACCACUCUGUGGUUUAAAACAGAAACUGAGAUAAGAGCCAGCAGUCCUCUCUUGGAGGAUAAACAGCCUCCCCCUAUCCAAUUGCCAGGGCAAGGUGGGGUGUGAGCGAGGAGAAAAGUCAACUCGUAUACUUAAACACUAACCAAUGACAAUAUUUGUUGCAGACCCCACAAGAAUUGAUAGAUUAGUUGA